rnacentral:rRNA from 1 species
UGGGGAAUCUUCCGCAAUGGGCGAAAGCCUGACGGAGCAACGCCGCGUGAGUGAAGACGGCCUUCGGGUUGUAAAACUCUGUGAUUCGGGACGAAAGAUAAGCAGACGAAUAAUCUGCAUAAGUGACGGUACCGAAAAAGCAAGCCACGGCUAACUACGUGCCAGCAGCCGCGGUAAUACGUAGGUGGCAAGCGUUGUCCGGAAUUAUUGGGCGUAAAGCGCGCGCAGGCGGCUACUUAAGUCCAUCUUAAAAGUGCGGGGCUUAACCCCGGUAUGGGAUGGAAACUGAGAAGCUGGAGUGUCGGAGAGGAAAGUGGAAUUCCUAGUGUAGCGGUGAAAUGCGUAGAGAUUAGGAAGAACACCGGUGGCGAAGGCGACUUUCUGGACGACAACUGACGCUUAGGCGCGAAAGCGUGGGGAGCAAACAGG